rnacentral:tRNA from 1 species
UAUAUUUAAGUGUUUUAAAGCAUAUAAGAUUUUGAAUUUUAAGGGUUUAAGUAAAUUAAAAAAUAUAA